UACGAAGGGUGCAAGCGUUAAUCGGAAUUACUGGGCGUAAAGCGUGCGUAGGCGGUUUGUUAAGUCUGUUGUGAAAUCCCCGGGCUCAACCUGGGAAUGGCAAUGGAUACUGGCAAGCUAGAGUGUGUCAGAGGAUGGUGGAAUUCCCGGUGUAGCGGUGAAAUGCGUAGAGAUCGGGAGGAACAUCAGUGGCGAAGGCGGCCAUCCGGGACAACACUGACGCUGAGGCACGAAAGCGUGGGGAGCAAACAGG
rnacentral:rRNA from 1 species